CCUACGGGGGGCAGCAGUGAGGAAUAUUGGUCAAUGGGCGGGAGCCUGAACCAGCCAAGUCGCGUGAGGGAAGACGGUCCUAUGGAUUGUAAACCUCUUUAGGCGGGGAGCAAUGCCGGGCACGUUUGCCCGGAGGGAGAGUACCCGCAGAAUAAGCAUCGGCUAACUCCGUGCCAGCAGCCGCGGUAAUACGGAGGAUGCGAGCGUUAUGCGGAUUUAGUGGGUGUACAGGGUGCGUAGGCGGAUGUUUAAGUCAGCGGUAAAAUGUCCGGGCUCAACCCGGGCCGGCCGUUGAAACUGGGGAUCUUGAGUGGGCGAGAAGUAUGCGGAAUGCGUGGUGUAGCGGUGAAAGGCAUAGAUAUCACGCAGAACUACGAUUGCGAAGGCAGCAUACCGGCGCCCGACUGACGCUGAGGCACGAAAGCGUGGGGAUCGAACAGGAUUAGAUACCCUUGUAGUC
rnacentral:rRNA from 1 species